rnacentral:rRNA from 1 species
AGUGAACGCUGGCGGUAGGCCUAACACAUGUAAGUCGAAUGGCAGCUCUGUAAGAGUUUGCUUUUAUGGGUGGCGAGUGGCGGACGAGUGCGGAAAACAUUGCACUAUACUUUUUCUUGGGGGACAACGUCGGGAAACUUACGCUAAUACAUCAUACUUCCUACGGCUGAAAGCAGGGGACAUACGGACUUCGCGCGAUCCGAUGCGUCGAAGCCAGGUUAGCUUGUUUGCGGGGGAAAGGCACACCAAGCCGACGAUCCGUAGCCGGUCUGAGAGGAUAAUCUGCCACACUGCAACUGAGACAAGCUCCAGACUCCUGCGGGAGGCAACAGUGAGGAAUAUUGAACAAUGGGCGCAAACCUGCUCCAGCCAUACCGCGUAGGUGAAGAAGGCCUUCGGGUUGUAAAGCCCUUUUGUUGGGAAAGAAAAGCAGCAGGUUAAUACCCCGCUAUUCUGACGGUACCCAAAGAAUAAGCACCGGCUAACUUCGUG